UACGGAGGGUGCAAGCGUUAAUCGGAAUUACUGGGCGUAAAGCGCGCGUAGGUGGUCUGUUAAGUCGGAUGUGAAAGCCCCGGGCUCAACCUCGGAAUUGCUUUUGAAACUGAUCGUCUGGAGUCUCGGAGAGGUUGGCGGAAUUCCCAGUGUAGAGGUGAAAUUCGUAGAUAUUGGGAGGAACACCAGUGGCGUAAGCGGCCAACUGGACGAGCACUGACGCUCAUGCACGAAAGCGUGGGGAGCAAACAGG
rnacentral:rRNA from 1 species